rnacentral:rRNA from 1 species
AUCGAACGCUGGCGGCAGGCCUAAAACAUGCAAGUCGAGCGGGGUUUUCGGACCUAGCGGCGGACGGGAGAGUAAUGCGUAGGAAGCUACCCGAUAGAGGGGGAUACCUGUUGGAAACGACUGUUAAUACCGCAUAAUGUCUACGGACCAAAGUGUGGGACCUUCGGGCCACAUGCCAUCGGAUGCGCCUACGUGGGAUUAGCUAGUUGGUGAGGUAAUGGCUCACCAAGGCGACGAUACCUAGCUGGUUCGAGAGGAUGAUCAGCCACAUUGGAACUUAGUCACGGUCCAUACUCCUACGGGAGGCAGCGUUGUGGAAUAUUGGACAAUGUGCGCCAGCCUGAUCCAGCCAUGCCGCGUGUGUGAAGAAGGCCUUCGAGUUGUAAAGCACUUUCAGUAGGGAGGAAGGAUGUUGUGUGUUAAUAGUACACAGCGUUUACGUUACCUACAGAAGAAGCACCGGCUAACUCUGUGCCAGCCGCCGCAGUAACAC